rnacentral:rRNA from 1 species
CAGUAGCGUAUACUAAUGUUGCUGCAGUUAAAAAGCUCGUAGUUGGAUUUCUGGCCGAGUGUCCCCAGGCCAGCAUGACGUUUGGUCCUGGGCGCUCUGCCAUCCUUCUGUCAACCUUCGCCUCGUUCGUUCGUGGCGUUGGGGCUCAGAUAUUUUACCUUGAGAAAAUUAGAGUGUUUCAGGCAGGCUUUCGCCGGAAUACAUUAGCAUGGAAUAAUGGAAAAGGACUUCAACCUCUUCUGUUGGUCUGAGAGGCUGUAGUAAUGAUUAAUAGGGAUAGUUGGGGGCAUUAGUACUUAACUGUCAGAGGUGAAAUUCUCCGAUUUGUUAAAGACUAACUUAUGCGAAAGCAUUUGCCAAGGAUGUUUUCAUUAAUCAAGAACGAAAGUUAGGGGAUCAAAGACGAUCAGAUACCGU